GAUUAACGCUGGCGGCAUGCCUUACACAUGCAAGUCGAACGGCAGCAUAGGAGCUUGCUCCUGAUGGCGAGUGGCGAACGGGUGAGUAAUAUAUCGGAACGUGCCCUAGAGUGGGGGAUAACUAGUCGAAAGACUAGCUAAUACCGAAUACGAUCUACGGAUGAAAGUGGGGGAUCGCAAGACCUCAUGCUCCUGGAGCGGCCGAUAUCUGAUUAGCUAGUUGGUGGGGUAAAAGCCUACCAAGGCGACGAUCAGUAGCUGGUCUGAGAGGACGACCAGCCACACUGGGACUGAGACACGGCCCAGACUCCUACGGGAGGCAGCAGUGGGGAAUUUUGGACAAUGGGGGCAACCCUGAUCCAGCAAUGCCGUGUGAGUGAAGAAGGCCUUCGGGUUGUAAAGCUCUUUUGUCAGGGAAGAAACGGUAGUAGCUAAUAUCUAUUACUAAUGACGGUACCUGAAGAAUAAGCACCGGCUAACUACGUGCCAGCCGCCGCAGUAA
rnacentral:rRNA from 1 species